CACCGCCCCGUCACAUCACGAAAGUGAGCUGUACUAGAAGUCGGUGAGCUAACCGCAAGGAGGCAGCCCGCCCAAGGUACGGCCCCAUGAUUGGGGGUG
rnacentral:rRNA from 1 species